rnacentral:rRNA from 1 species
UACGUAGGGGGGCUAGCGUUGUCCGGAUUUAUUGGGCGUAAAGAGCGUGUAGGCGGCCAGGUAGGUCUGCUGUGAAAACUCGAGGCUCAACCUCGAGACGUCGGCGGAAACCAUCUGGCUAGAGUCCGGAAGAGGAGAGUGGAAUUCCUGGUGUAGCGGUGAAAUGCGCAGAUAUCAGGAAGAACACCCGUGGCGGAAGGGCGGCUCUCUGGGACGGUACUGACGCUGAGACGCGAAAGCGUGGGGAGCUAACAGG